rnacentral:lncRNA from 1 species
CUGCGGGACUUGAACCAGCGCCUGGAGGCCACACUGGCUGGGCUGGGCCAGCACUGCCAGCUGCUGGCGCAGCUGAAGGCGACGCAGGAGGCCGAGAGCCGGGAGCUGCAGCGCGAGGUGCAGCGGCUGGGCAAGGAGAACCAGCGGCUGCUGCAGCGCGGCCUCGAGAGCCGCCAGCGCCACCUCCACGAGCAGCAGCAGUACCAGGCAACACUGGUGGCACUGCAAGGGGAGAAGCGGCGGCUGCUGGAGACCAUCCUGGAGCAAUAUCGGGGGCUGGAGCCUCGGCUGCCCCACGGCCGGUGAGAGGCUGCCCCAUGGCGGGACCCCCCCCUCACCCCACA